GCCAGGGCUGAGAUCCCGAAGGCGGGCGAGGUCUGGGAUGGGGCGGGGCCUAUGGGAGCGGGGCUGAAGCCCUGGGCCCGGCAGAGGAAGGUCGAGAUGGACCAUGUUGGGCCCCUUCUCUCCCCGCCCCCAGGCCGCAGUUCGGGGGCCACGCCCCGGCGUGCUCGGGUCACCGCGGGAAGCCCUUGAACCCCCUGGCGCCCGGCACCCACGUGCGGUAACCGCGGCUCCUCGAGAGCUCCAGGGAUGCGGAUCUACAGUAAGGGCUGUGGCCAGAUGAAUGAAUGCACAUUUUUUAGUGGGCAGAAAGAUGUUAGAAUUCAUGAAUUAGAAUAAGCACAAAGGAGGGCGAGAGGGGAGGCCGUGGAAGCCGCAUUCCUCCCCUUGCCUUGGGCGCCCACCCCCGAAGGGGCGCGUCCCCUCCCUGCUCCACUGCACGUGGGUGUUUAACCAGGGGAUAUCCAGUGCCUCAAGCACCACGACCCGGGAGAAAACUGAGUUGAGAAGGCCUUGGGGAUGAAGGUGAGAAAUUCGAGAAUCCCCGGAGAUAACACAUCAGCAAAUAGUGCGCAGGCAGAACAAGCUGUUGGAGGUGAGAGACACAGAGCAGAGAAGCACCCGCACCUGGAGAGUCAGGAGGGCCUCACAUCAGAACGCCUGAGCAAAUACAGUUUUGAAGGAUACUAAUUUUUUAAAAAGUUCAUUCACAUGAGUUAGACAAAGAGAAAGAAGCAGGACAUUCUAGGAAGAAGGAACGGCCCAGGCAAAAGCGACGCGUACAUUGGCGUGGGUCCAUUCAAGAAUUGUGCCCACAAUAUACCAGGCACUUGUCCAGACCUGCAUCGUCCAAUGCCCACCUCGACCUCCCAAAGUGUUGGGAUUAGAGGCGUGAGCCACCGCGCCCUGCCUGCAUGUGGCUAUUGAGAUGUGCUGUAUGAUACACACCGGACUUUGAAGACUCAGUGUGAAAAAUAAAAAGAAUUUUAAGAGGGGUGGGGGUCGAGGGGAGGCAGAGCAGUAGGACAAAUAGCUAAUGCACGCAGGGCUUAAAACCUAGACAACAGGUUGAUGGGUGCAGCAAACCACCAUGACACAUGUUUAUCUAUAUAGCACCUACAUGUUCUGCACUUGUAUCCUGGAACUUAAAAUUAGAAAAAAAAAAUAAUAAAAGCCAACAUGGCAUUCAUUACUGCCAAAAAAAUUAAAACACAUUGUUAA
rnacentral:lncRNA from 1 species